AACGAACGCUGGCGGCAGGCUUAACACAUGCAAGUCGAACGCCCCGCAAGGGGAGUGGCAGACGGGUGAGUAACGCGUGGGAAUCUACCCAGUUCUACGGAACAACAGAGGGAAACUUCUGCUAAUACCGUAUACGCCCUAAGGGGGAAAGAUUUAUCGGAAUUGGAUGAGCCCGCGUAAGAUUAGCUAGUUGGUGAGGUAAUGGCUCUCCAAGGCGACGAUCUUUAGCUGGUCUGAGAGGCUGAUCAGCCACACUGGGACUGAGACACGGCCCAGACUCCUACGGGAGGCAGCAGUGGGGAAUAUUGGACAAUGGGCGCAAGCCUGAUCCAGCCAUGCCGCGUGAGUGAUGAAGGCCUUAGGGUUGUAAAGCUCUUUCAGUAGGGAAGAUAAUGACGGUACCUACAGAAGAAGCCCCGGCUAACUUCGUGCCAGCAGCCGCAGUAACAC
rnacentral:rRNA from 1 species